AGAGUUUGAUCCUGGCUCAGGAUGAACGCUAGCGGCAGGCUUAAUACAUGCAAGUCGUACGGGAUUUCGGGUAGCAAUACCUGGAUGAGAGUGGCGCACGGGUGCGUAACGCGUAUGCAACCUACCUUUAACCGGGACACAACCAUGAGAAAUUGUGGCUAAUAUCCCAUAACACUGCGAUGUGGCAUCACAAUGCAGUUAAAGCUCCGGCGGUUACAGAUGGGCAUGCGUGACAUUAGCUAGUUGGUGAGGUAACGGCUCACCAAGGCUACGAUGUCUAGGGGUUCUGAGAGGAUUAUCCCCCACACUGGUACUGAGACACGGACCAGACUCCUACGGGAGGCAGCAGUAAGGAAUAUUGGGCAAUGGACGCAAGUCUGACCCAGCCAUGCCGCGUGAAGGAUGAAGGCCCUAUGGGUUGUAAACUUCUUUUAUACGGGAAAAAACCUCCGGUCGUGUAUCGGAGCUGAUGGUACCGUAAGAAUAAGCAUCGGCUAACUCCGUGCCAGCAGCCGCGGUAAUACGGAGGAUGCAAGCGUUAUCCGGAUUCAUUGGGUUUAAAGGGUGCGCAGGCGGAUUAAUAAGUCAGUGGUGAAAUCCUACGGCUCAACUGUAGAACUGCCAUUGAUACUGUUAGUCUUGAGUAUUGUUGAGGUAGGCGGAAUGUGUCAUGUAGCGGUGAAAUGCUUAGAUAUGACACAGAACACCGAUCGCGAAGGCAGCUUACCAAGCAAUAACUGACGCUCAUGCACGAAAGCGUGGGGAUCAAACAGGAUUAGAUACCCUGGUAGUCCGCGCUGUAAACGAUGAACACUCGAUGUUGGCGAUACACAGUCAGCGUCUGAGCGAAAGUAUUAAGUGUUCCACCUGGGGAGUACGGUCGCAAGAUUGAAACUCAAAGGAAUUGACGG
rnacentral:rRNA from 1 species